UGGAGAGCGCGUGGUCUCCAGGAGGAGGCAUUCCAGCCCAGGUUCCAGACGAGGCCAGGACACACGCCGCAGUGACAGUCUAAAUGCAGCCUUGAUGCCCUCAGUGUUCCAGCCAUGGGGUCGGCUGGCAGAAGGAAAUGCUCACUAGAUCAGCUUCUCCUGAGUUGGUGUCUCUCUGGCCUGCCUUCCCCUGCUGUGAGCACAGGAAUUGCUGGUGAUGUGGAUUCAGCAGGAAAACAAAAAUUGCAUGUGAAGGCAAUGAACCUUACAGAGGAACACAAAGUGCUAAUGUCACCAGUAUGAUGAAAAUGUGUCAAACGGUCUAUAAAACCAGUGUAUGGUGCCCCAUGAUCGCAUUAAUGUACCCAGCUAUGAUUUAAUAAAAAACAAACCAAAAAAGUGCUAAUGUCUAUCAACAAGGUGUUAUAAAUAGGAUUAGAAUGUAAUUUGGAGACCAAAAUGACAACUGUUAUACUGGGGUUAAAGUAAGGUUCGAAUGAGCUCAUGUG